rnacentral:rRNA from 1 species
AUGCUCACACAUUCUGAGAUACUAGUGAGUAAUAACAAGAAAAUUUGGAAGUCUAAGAUUCAACUAAAAGUUAAAAUUUUCAUGUCGUAUCUUCGUAGAGGAGUUGUGUUAACCAAAAACAACCGCACAGGGCACAACUGGCAAGGGAGUAAGAAGUGUUGUUUUUGUACUCAUGACGAGACAAUCAAACACCUCAUUUUCCAAUAG